CCUACGGGCGGCAGCAGUGGGGAAUAUUGCACAAUGGGGGAAACCCUGAUGCAGCGACGCCGCGUGAGUGAAGAAGUAAUUCGUUACGUAAAGCGCUAUAAGCAGGGAAGAAAAUGAAGAUAACUGAGUAAGAAGCCCCGGCUAACUAAGUGCCAGCAGCCGCGGUAAUACGGAGGGGGCAAGCGUUAUCCGGAUUUACUGGGUGUAAAGGGAGCGUAGACGGUGAGUCAAGUCUGGAGUGAAAUGCCGCGGCUUAACUGAGGAACUGCUUUGGAAACUGGCGAACUAGAGUGCUGGAGGGGAAAGUGGAAUUCCUAGUGUAGCGGUGAAAUGCGUAGAUAUUAGGAGGAACACCGGUGGCGAAGGCGGCUUACUGGACCGUAACUGACGUUGAGGCUCGAAAGCGUGGGGAGCAAACAGGAUUAGAUACCCGUGUAGUC
rnacentral:rRNA from 1 species